UUAAAAGCCCCUCUCUCCAAUCCCAUCCAAUCCGCGCAUAAGAUUUAGGUCAUUACGCAGCCUGCAUUUUUCCCCGCGAUUUAAGUAAUCUAUCAACAGUCAUCGAGUCAACACGAUAGAGAAAGAGAGUAGAGCAUCCACUGUUGUCUUUUUCUCUUUUAAAAGUGCUGCUGUAGCUCCGAAGAAGGAGAAGACGGUUCAGUGCCAGUCUGCACAGGUGCUCAUCAGGCAGAUGUAUCAUGGGUAUUGCUUGCCAUGGGCCCAUCCAAUGCAUGCCUGCAACGCUUUGAAGCUCUCGGCGGAAGGACCAAAGGAAAAGACAUAAUAGAUGUUUUGUCUGUGCUUUUGGAAGGCAUCUUGUUCAUAACCUUCUCCUUUGUUCUUUUCUCCUCCAUCUCUCUCUCUUUCUUGAGUUUCGGGUUCGGUUGAGAACCCCCCGGAGAGUUCGAAAUUUGGUUCUUUUUCCGAAGAGGAUUUGGUAUUUGUUUAGAGUUUGGUGGAUUAGGGUGUUUGUGGUGUCAUUUAGAUUUGAAUUUGUUGUCUUAGUCAGCAGUUCUUUUUGUUUGGGUGGUUCAGGUCUGUGGUAGCUGCUGUUUGCUCUAUGUUCUGCUUGGGAGCUAUGUUGUAGUUGAGUUGUUCGAAAAUGUGUAACUUUGUAUGGUUUUUUGGGUAUUUAUGGCUGAUUUUUCAGCUUAUCUGUGACUUUUAAGGGGUUUGGUGGUCAACUUCUAUAGGCUUUCUCUAAAUGCUGUCCUGGUUAGAAUUUUAUCGUCUGUUUUUUCUUACUUUUUGCUUUUCAGUGUAUUUUUUUUUGUUUCCUGGUAAUUGGAGUAUGAUCUUGGAAAUUUAAGACUAGAGUUGGCGAUGCUUUUAUCCCAUUACCCCAAACUGCUCUUUUUUUUUUGCUUCCCCUUGGGUUAUUUUUUGGUGCUAUCUAAGGAAUUAGUAGCUUUUUGAUUGAGGUUCUUUGUUGGCGUCAUAGGCGUUUGAGUCUGCUUGAGUUGUUUAUUUGAAAAUUUUAAUCUGUUCAAGAUGGCUUGCGUGAAGCUAGGCUCAAAAAUGGACACUUUCCAGCGUCAAGGAUGGGCUUGGUUUACCACUACUGGCCUCCCAAGUGAUGUUACCAUUGAAAUUGGAGAUUUGUGCUUUCAUCUUCACAAGUUUCCUUUGUUAUCCAAGAGUGCUCUUCUUGAAAAACUGAUUGCUGAGAAGUCUGGUGAAGAAGAGAGCUGUAUCAUAAAGCUUCCAGAUAUUCCUGGUGGUUCGAAGGCAUUUGAGCUAAUUGCCAAGUUUUGCUAUGGUAUCAAAAUAGAACUUACUGCUUUGAAUGUAGCAUACACCCGGUGUGCCGCUGAGUAUAUGCAAAUGACUGAAGAGAUUGCUGAGAGGAAUUUAAUCUAUGAGUCCGACGUAUUUCUCAAUCAAGUCGUUCUUCGUGGCUGGAAUGAUUCACUAAGAGCUCUCCAAACUUGUGAUGAUCUUCUCCCUUGUGCUGAAGAUCUUAAUAUAGUGACAAGAUGCAUUGACUCAUUAGCCAUGAAGGCUUGCAUGGACCCUGAUCUAAUUGGCCGGCCGACGAUGGAGCAUGGCUCCAUGAAAAGCCCCUGUGGAAGCGUUCUUUGGAAUGGGAUAAGUACUGGAGCAAGACCCAGAAGUUAUAGCUCAGAUUGGUGGUAUGAGGAUGUUGCAUCUCUGAGUCUUCCCUUUUAUAAGCGGUUUAUAUCAGUGAUGGCGUCCCGAGGUAUCAGAGAAGAGAUUAUUGCUGGUUCAAUAGCCUCCUAUGCAAAAAGGUACCUCCCUGGAUUAAACAAAAGGCACAAUGCAGCACCAAUGACUUGUACAUCUGUACUGUCUGAGGAUGAACAAAGAGUUCUUCUUGAAGAAAUUGAGAGUUUACUGCCCAUCCAAAAGGGUGUGGCUUCUACAAAGUUUCUUUUUGGUCUUCUGCGCACUGCGAUUAUUUUGAAAGCCAAUUCUACAUGCUUGUCUAACUUGGAGAGAAGGAUCGGCAUGCAAUUGGAUGAAGCCAGUUUAGAGGACCUGCUGAUGCCUACGUUUUCUUACUCUUUGGAAACACUUUACGAUGUUGAUUGCAUCCAGAGAAUUCUUAAGCACUUCCUAGCCAUGGACCAGGCUACUGGUGGAGCUUCUCCUGGUCUGGUAGAUGAUGAGCAGUUGAUGGGCUCUCCUUCCCUUACACCAAUAACCACUGUGGCUAAGCUUAUAGAUGGGUACUUGGCAGAGGUUGCCCCUGAUGUUAAUUUACAGCUGCCAAAGUUUCAGUCACUCGCAGCAGCCAUUCCAGAGUAUGCACGUCCCCUGGAUGACGGGCUAUACCGUGCCAUUGAUAUAUAUUUAAAGGCACACCCUUGGCUAUCAGAAUCUGAGAGAGAACAGCUAUGCAGGCUGAUGGACUGCCAAAAGCUCUCCCUUGAAGCCUGCACCCAUGCUGCGCAGAAUGAGAGGCUUCCACUUCGAGUUGUUGUCCAAGUUCUCUUCUUCGAGCAGCUUCAACUUAGAACCUCAAUUGCUGGCUGUUUCCUCGUUUCUGACAACAUUGAUGGUUCACGACCAUUAAGGAGCGGUCUUGUUGCGCCAAGUGAAGGUGGUGCCUGGGCCACUGCUGUCAGGGAAAAUCAGGUUUUGAAAGUUGGAAUGGAUCACAUGAGGAUGAGAGUCUCUGAACUUGAGAAGGAGUGUUCAACCAUGAGGCAAGAGAUUGAGAGGCUGGUGAGGUUGAGAAAUGGGUGGAGCGGCGGCAUAACCAAAAGGUUGGGCUUCAGAAUGAAGUCACAGAUAUGCAGCACACAAGAGGAUUCAGUUAGUGAGGAGCAGAGCAGGAGUGGGAAGAUUAAGGCUAUAAACAAAGCUCACAAAGCAUAACAGAAACUUAUCCAACGGUGAUUGGACUGUAUGCUACUUUUCCCCCUGUAUUUCACAGUUUUUAGUAUUUCUUGUAUUUUUUUUUCCAUAGAUUUUCGAUGCAUUCUCUAAAUUUUCAGUCAAGUUAUGUCGCUUCUCUCAAAAUGAGGAUAUGUAAUCUUCCUUCAGAUUAAUAAAAUGUCUGAAUUGUGCAAUUGGAGAGGACUCCGACGACCCUCCUACAUAGAGCUUCCGACGUGUCAGGAGUGUUUGCACUCGCGAAAUCGCAGCUCCAACAAGCAUUUC